rnacentral:tRNA from 1 species
GGUAAUAGUUAAAUAUAACAUUUGAUUUGCAUUCAAAAGGUGUUGAUUAGUCAACUUACCUU